GACGAACGCUGGCGGCGUGCCUAAUACAUGCAAGUUGAGCGCUGAAGGUUGGUACUUGUACCAACUGGAUGAGCAGCGAACGGGUGAGUAACGCGUGGGGAAUCUGCCUUUGAGCGGGGGACAACAUUUGGAAACGAAUGCUAAUACCGCAUAAAAACUUUAAACACAAGUUUUAAGUUUGAAAGAUGCAAUUGCAUCACUCAAAGAUGAUCCCGCGUUGUAUUAGCUAGUUGGUGAGGUAAAGGCUCACCAAGGCGAUGAUACAUAGCCGACCUGAGAGGGUGAUCGGCCACAUUGGGACUGAGACACGGCCCAAACUCCUACGGGAGGCAGCAGUAGGGAAUCUUCGGCAAUGGACGAAAGUCUGACCGAGCAACGCCGCGGGAGUGAGGAAGGUUUUCGGAUCGUAAAACUCUGUUGGUAGAGAAGAACGUUGGUGAGAGUGGAAAGCUCAUCAAGUGACGGUAACUACCCAGAAAGGGACGGCUAACUACGUG
rnacentral:rRNA from 1 species